rnacentral:piRNA from 1 species
UGAAUUGAUGAUCCUUUGUGUUGGCU